UGUCAAGCUGCUGUCACCUUACCUGAAGUAAGGAGUCCACGCCUGCAUGUCCGAGGAAAACAGUUUUCUCAAACACAUUAGUUGAAAAACUGAAGACGCUGCCUAAAAUACAAGCUGAGUUAGAGACAGCCCUUGUAAGACUAGAAAAAGAAAUGGAAACUAAGUAACAUGAAUUAACAUAGUCCAGGGUCACAAAGCAACAUGGAACAAGAACCUGGAUCUGAAUUCAGAGGCAGAAUGCUGGGCCUGAGAAUCAGGAGAGUCAAUGGUAUUAGUGCUUGUCCGGAAGCCAUCAUGCUUCAAAACCAAGAAGAGCUGAUUUUCCAGUUGGAGUCUAAAGGACAGCUUCAUGUACAGUCCACAGUAUGUUGAGAGAGAGGCAUCCCACCAAAGCCUCCAGCGCAGCACCCGUGGAGACCAGCAGUACAGAUAUCCUUCAUUGCCCUUCUCCCCCUAGGCUACCACCCCCAGGACCUGUGCUCAUAUUUUGGCACGUUAAUACUAAGCCCGGAGAUACUGAAAGCAUU
rnacentral:lncRNA from 10 species